UACAGAGGGUGCAAGCGUUGUUCGGAAUUAUUGGGCGUAAAGGGAGUGUAGGCUGUUAAGUAAGUCUUCUGUGAAAUCUACGGGCUUACCCCGUAACGUGCAGAGGAAACUGCUUAGCUUGAGUGUCGGAGAGGAUAGGGGAAUACCCGGUGUAGAGGUGAAAUUCGUAGAGAUCGGGUGGAACACCAGUGGCGAAGGCGCCUAUCUGGCUGACAACUGACGCUGAGACUCGAAAGCAUGGGGAGCAAACAGG
rnacentral:rRNA from 1 species